GCCCGAGUGGCGGAACUGGUAGACGCUGAGGACUUAAAAUCCUUUGGCCGUAAGGUCGUACGAGUUCGACUCUCGUCUUGGGCA
rnacentral:tRNA from 1 species